rnacentral:rRNA from 1 species
UACAGAGGGUGCAAGCGUUAAUCGGAAUUACUGGGCGUAAAGCGUGCGCAGGCGGUUUUGCAAGCCGGAUGUGAAAUCCCGGGGCUUAACCCCGGGCGUGCAGUGGAUACGGGCAGGCUGGAGGCAGGCAGGGGAGAACGGAAUUCCCGGUGUAGCGGUGAAAUGCGCAGAUAUCGGGAGGAACACCGGUGGCGAAGGCGGUUCUCUGGGCCUGUACUGACGCUGAGGAGCGAAAGCGUGGGGAGCGAACAGG